rnacentral:rRNA from 1 species
CUCGUAGGCGGUUCGUCGCGUCCGGUGUGAAAGUCCAUCGCUUAACGGUGGAUCAGCGCCGGGUACGGGCGGGCUUGAGUGCGGUAGGGGAGACUGGAAUUCCCGGUGUAACGGUGGAAUGUGUAGAUAUCGGGAAGAACACCAAUGGCGAAGGCAGGUCUCUGGGCCGUCACUGACGCUGAGGAGCGAAAGCGUGGGGAGCGAACA